rnacentral:rRNA from 1 species
GAUGAACGCUGGCGGCGUGCCUAAUACAUGCAAGUCGAGCGAACAGACGAUGAGCUUGCUCCUCUGACGUUAGCGGCGGACGGGUGAGUAACACGUGGAUAACCUACCUAUAAGACUGGUAUAACUUCGGGAAACCGGAGCUAAUACCGGAUAAGAUAUUGAACCGCAGGGUUCAAUAGUGAAUGACGGUUUUGGUGUCACGUAUAGAUGGAUCCGCGCUGCAUUAGCUAGUUGGUAAGGUAACGGCUUACCAAGGCAACGAGGCGUAGCCGAAGUGAGAGAGUGAUAGGCCACACUGGAACGGGACCACGGUCAAGACUCCUACGGGAGGCAGCAGUCGGGAAUCUGACGCAAUGGGCGAAAGCUUGACGGAGCAAGGCCGCGUGAGUGAUGAAGGUCUUCGGAUCGUAAAACUCUGUUAUUGGGGAAGAACAAAUGUGUAAGUAACUAUGCACGUAUUGACGGUAACUAAUCAGAAAGCCACGGCUAACUACGUG